AUGAAGCCAUGGUCCAUGGAUGAUCAUCAAUCUCAAAGCGGAAUAUCAUCUAAAGCUGUGGGCGAGAGUAAAGAUUGGAUAAAUGAGCUGCCGGAUUGCAUUCUGUCAUAUAUACUUUCAUUGUUAACUAUCAAAGAUGCAGCGGAGACUAGCAUUGUAUGCCGCCGGUGGAGAAAUCUUUGGACGGCAAGGCCUUCUGAUCUUGUUUUAGACAUUGCAAAUAUUUUUGGAUCCGUGUAUGCUCCAGUCGUUGCAAGACAUGAGAGAUACUAUACUUUUGCAUCCAUGACUCCUCAAUUUGAGAGGCAGUGCUAUAUACAACGUGUGAAUAAAGUUUUGGAGCUCUUGUCUUGCAACAAGCUAGACUCAUUCAAAGUGGCAUUCUUUUUGGAUCGAGAAGAUACUCAAGCUCUUGACAAAUGGUGUUCUUCAUAUUCUGAGGGCUGCACCACUCCUGGAAGAACUUCUAAUGACGGGGUUCCGUUAGAGAUAGAGUUUGGCAUUUGCAUUCUUAAACUUGCAACAAAGCUCGAGUUAAUGGUGAUUGAUCCACUUGGAUCCGUCUACGACGGUGAUGGAAGGUGGUACGAUCUCACCUGUGGUUAUCAGUAUGGGAACGAGAAUGAGCAUCCGGGGUUAAUAGAGGGGCACACAAGCGAUCUGGAGUUGUUUUGGGUUUCCUCAUUUGUUCCUGGAAAUUGGAUGAAAGUUUCUGUGUCAGUUUGGUUGCCUUUUAGUGAUAAUGUCUUCUCUGGAUAUGAUGUUAAGAUUAUAUCCCUGAAGGAAAGACAUGGUCUUCCACUGCCUCAUAGCAAUCUUUUGCCCGUCCCUGAACUCGAAGGAAACCAGUUGGCUGAGAAGGCAGUAAAAGCAAGAGCACUUAAUAAUGGUUUGCUUGUCGACCCUCAUGAUCAGCAAUCAAUUUCUAACGCAUUGCUGAAGUUGUUAUCGGAAAAGAAUUUAUGGGUUGACUGUAGAAAGAAUGGAUGGAAAAACAUACACCUUUUCUCAUGGCCUGAACACUGCCGAACCUACUUGACUAGCGUAGCAGCCUGCUGCAUGAGAUAUCCACAGUGGCAGACUGACACUCCGGAGGAUGAAAUGGCUGCUGAGGAGUCCUUCAAUGACUCUCUCAGGGACAUGCAAGAUAUGUCUCUUAGGCUCUCAGUUGAUGGGGACAAAUCCUCACUGAAUGAAUCUCUAGAUGUGACUACAACUUCUGGUGACCAUGAGGUGCAAGAUCAAGUGAAGUGUGUCCUAAGCAAGAUGAAGAAGUCGGAUUCUGGUCCAGACGACCAUGAAGACGGAAAUAAGCUGCCGGAUAAUGUAUCCAGCAAGUAUCUUUUGUUAAGACAUAGAAGAAAAUUGAUUGUCAUAGCACUUGAUUGCUAUGACCAAUCUGGAGCGCCUGAUAAGAAAAUUAUUCAAGUUGUGCAAGAAAUAUUUAAGGCUGUAAGACUAGAUUCUCAAAGCGCAAGAUUUACAGGGUUUGCUCUGCUGACGGCUAUGCCGGCUUUGGAGACGGUAGAGUUUUUGGCAUCAGGGAAGAUUCAGGCAAAUGAGUUUGAUGCUUUGGUUUGUAGCAGUGGAAGCGAGGUUUACUACCCUGGUACUUAUACAGAAGAAGAUGGAAGGCUUUUUCCAGAUCCAGAUUAUUCGUCACACAUUGACUACUGAUGGGGCUGUGAAGGAUUAAAGAAAACCAUUUGGAAGCUCUUAAAUGCCCCUGAUGGUGAAUGAAAUUCGGGAUCUUCCAACCAAAUUGAAGAAGAUUUGAAAUCAAGCAAUUCCCAUUGCAUUUCAUACUUAAUCAAGGAUCCUAGUAAGGCAAGGAAAGUUGAUGAUUUAAGGCAGAAACUCAGGAGGCGCGGACUACGCUGCCAUCCAAUGUACUGCAGGAGCUCAACACGAAUGCAAAUUGUUCCGCUCCUUGCUUCUCGAGCACAGGCUCUCAGGUAUCUUUUUGUAUGCUGGAGAUUGAAUGUCGCAAACGUGUACGUGUUCCUUGGAGAAAGUGGGGACACCAAUUAUGAAGAAAUGAUUGCAGGGACUCACAAGACCAUAAUCAUGAAAGGGGCGGUGGGAAAGGGUUCUGAAGAGCUGCUAAGAACAUCAGGAAGCUAUUUGAGAGACGACAUUGUUCCUCCUCAGAGCCCAUUGGUCGCCAUUGUAAAUGGGCAAGCUCCAACAGCUGAUGAGAUUGCGACUGCUUUGAAGAAGUCAGCAAAUCUGCUGCUGGAAUGUGAUUACGAUGUCACUAGAAUCUGAGUUAUGUACUUUGAGAAGAAACAAAACAAAAGGCGGAGUGUCAAUGAAACCCAUCUAAACACGGCCUAGUACUAACUACUAAGAAUGCAGCUAGCCAACUGGUCGUCACAAGUCGCAAGUAAUCUGGUUGGUGAGAUAAUAUGUAGGAGAGCAUGCAAAAGAUAUUUAUAUAUGGAUGUAUACAUACUCGAAUGUUCUAUACUGUCCACCAGCCAUAAUUAUGUGAAGGUAUUGUACCUGAUCAGUCAGGUUGGCCCCUAUUUGAUUAAACAGAAAACUGCUAAAUGAUAAGCAGAUGAUGAAUGUAAAAUAGAAUUUACAAGUGACAAUAUCCUUUUUACUUGUUAAGAAUUUCUCCAAUUCAUUUGCAUUCUUACUUCUUAGCAGAGAAUUGACUGUAAAAUAGAACAAAA